UCCAGAGGGUGCAAGCGUUAAUCGGAAUUACUGGGCGUAAAGCGCACGUAGGCGGCUUGGUAUGUCGGGUGUGAAAUCCCCGGGCUCAACCUGGGAACUGCAUCCGAAACUGCCUUGCUGGAGUAUGGGAGAGGGAAGCGGAAUUUCCGGUGUAGCGGUGAAAUGCGUAGAUAUCGGAAGGAACAUCAGUGGCGAAGGCGGCUUCCUGGACCAAUACUGACGCUCAGGUGCGAAAGCGUGGGGAGAAAACAGG
rnacentral:rRNA from 1 species